GACGUAGGGGGCCAGCGUUGCUCGGAAUUACUGGGCGUAAAGGGUCCGUAGGCGGUGCGGUAAGUCGGGAGUGAAAUCUCUGGGCUUAACUCAGAGGCUGCUUCCGAAACUACCGUGCUAGAGUGCGAGAGAGGCAAGUGGAAUUGCGGGUGUAGCGGUGAAAUGCGCAGAUAUCAGGAGGAACACCGGUGGCGAAGGCGGGUCUCUGGGCCGAUACUGACGCUGAGGCACGAAAGCUGGGGGGAGCAAACAGG
rnacentral:rRNA from 1 species